rnacentral:tRNA from 1 species
GGGCGGGUGGUCUAGUGGUGAAGACGUUAGCUCUGUAAACUGAAGACCCGGGUUCGAUUCCCGGCUCGGCCA